UAUUUUGUUCAUAUUUAUUUCAAAAUUAUUCAGUCUUUUUGCUACCUAUUUUCCUAUUCUUUGUUUAUUAGCUUAUCAUAAGCCAGAACCAAUUAUUGUAGACACAACUAGAACAACUAGAAUUUCUAGAUUAAAAGACUUAAGAUCGCUAAUGUAUCCAGGGGUAGAUAGUGUCCCCUCCAGUGUCCGCCAACAUAUUUAUCACUUAGUCAUGAUUUUAAGUUUAUUGUGUAUAAUACCCGCUAGCCUCCCUAUUUAUGCUGAUUUCUAUUGGUAUCAAACGGUAUUGUAUAAGUACAAUUUAUUAGAGAAGUU